GCUUCCGUGGCUCAGUGGUAGAGCACUCCCUUGGUAAGGGAGAGGUCGUGGGUUCAAUUCUCACCGGAAGCUCCA
rnacentral:tRNA from 1 species